AUUGAACGCUGGCGGCAUGCUUUACACAUGCAAGUCGAACGGCAGCACGGGCUUCGGCCUGGUGGCGAGUGGCGAACGGGUGAGUAAUGCAUCGGAACGUGCCCAUGUCGUGGGGGAUAACGUAUCGAAAGGUACGCUGAUACCGCAUACGCCCUGAGGGGGAAAGCGGGGGAUUCUUCGGAAUCUCGCGCGAUUGGAGCGGCCGAUGUCGGAUUAGCUAGUUGGUGGGGUAAAGGCUCACCAAGGCGACGAUCCGUAGCGGGUCUGAGAGGAUGAUCCGCCACACUGGGACUGAGACACGGCCCAGACUCCUACGGGAGGCAGCAGUGGGGAAUUUUGGACAAUGGGCGCAAGCCUGAUCCAGCCAUGCCGCGUGAGUGAAGAAGGCCUUCGGGUUGUAAAGCUCUUUCGGCCGGGAAGAAAUCGCACUCUCUAACAUAGGGUGUGGAUGACGGUACCGGACUAAGAAGCACCGGCUAACUACGUGCCAGCAGCCGCUGUAAAAC
rnacentral:rRNA from 1 species